rnacentral:ncRNA from 1 species
AUAAAGUCGAUGACGAGAAGAGUAAGGCAGAACCCUGUUCCGCAGAGAGCCAGCAUUAGGUGAAAGCUGGCGUUCAGCACUGCCCGAAAAUCCCCUCCGAGAUGCAAAGCUGAAAAUAUAGUAAGCUUUGACGGCCUUUCCUCCGUUACACGUGGAACACGUAUGUUGGUACGUUGACUAAGUGCCGCAGUUUUUUUCAUGCUGCGGAAUGAGGGUGGUAACGCGAGUUCAAACUCGUCCCUGUU